rfam:Salmo salar isolate Sally breed double haploid chromosome ssa27, whole genome shotgun sequence.
ACCAGGAUGGCCGAGAGGUUAAGGCGUUAGACUUAAGAUGCAAUGGACAUAUGUCCUCGUGGGUUCGAACCCCACUCCUGGUA